UUGUUACGACUUCACCCCAGUCAUGAAUCACUCCGUGGUAACCGUCCCCCCGAAGGUUAGACUAGCUACUUCUGGAGCAACCCACUCCCAUGGUGUGACGGGCGGUGUGUACAAGGCCCGGGAACGUAUUCACCGUGACAUUCUGAUUCACGAUUACUAGCGAUUCCGACUUCACGCAGUCGAGUUGCAGACUGCGAUCCGGACUACGAUCGGUUUUAUGGGAUUAGCUCCACCUCGCGGCUUGGCAACCCUUUGUACCGACCAUUGUAGCACGUGUGUAGCCCUGGCCGUAAGGGCCAUGAUGACUUGACGUCAUCCCCACCUUCCUCCGGUUUGUCACCGGCAGUCUCCUUAGAGUGCCCACCAUAACGUGCUGGUAACUAAGGACAAGGGUUGCGCUCGGUACGG
rnacentral:rRNA from 1 species